AAGCAGCAAAACCGCGAGGUGGAGCAAAUCUCGAAAAAACGUCUCAGUUCGGAUUGUAGGCUGCAACCCGCCUACAUGAAGUCGGAAUUGCUAGUAAUCGUGGAUCAGCAUGCCACGGUGAAUACGUUCCCGGGCCUUGUACACACCGCCCGUCAAACCAUGAGAGUUGGCAACACCCGAAGCCUGUAGCUUAACCGCAAGGAUGGCGCAGUCGAAGGUGGGGUCGAUGAUUAGGGUUAAGUCGUAACAAGGUAUC
rnacentral:rRNA from 1 species